GACGAACGCUGGCGGCGUGCCUAAUACAUGCAAGUCGAGCGGACUUUCAAGAAGCUUGCUUUUUGAAAGUUAGCGGCGGACGGGUGAGUAACACGUGGGCAACCUGCCUGCAAGACGGGGAUAACUCCGGGAAACCGGGGCUAAUACCGGAUAAUAUCUUCCUUCGCAUGAAGGAAGGUUGAAAGGCGGCGCAAGCUGCCGCUUGCAGAUGGGCCCGCGGCGCAUUAGCUAGUUGGUGAGGUAACGGCUCACCAAGGCGACGAUGCGUAGCCGCCCUGGGGGGGUGAUCGGCCACACUGGGACUGAGACACGGCCCAGACUCCUACGGGAGGCAGCAGUAGGGAAUCUUCCGCAAUGGACGAAAGUCUGACGGGGCAACGCCGCGUGAGCGAAGAAGGUCUUCGGAUCGUAAAGCUCUGUUGUCAGGGAAGAACAAGUACCGUUCGAACAGGGCGGUACCUUGACGGUACCUGACCAGAAAGCCACGGCUAACUACGUG
rnacentral:rRNA from 1 species